rnacentral:misc_RNA from 1 species
GAACGCACCUUGCGCUCCUUGGUAUUCCGAGGAGCAUGCCUGUUUGAGUGUCAUUUAAUUCUCAACCUUAUUAGCUUUUGCCGAUAAUGGCUUGGAUGUGGGGGAUUAUUUUUUUUGCUGGCUUCUUUCAGAGGUCAGCUCCCCUGAAAUGCAUUAGCUGGUUGCCCCGCGUGGACCGUCUAUUUGGUGUGAUAAUUAUCUACGCCGUGGAUGUCUGCAAUUGGUUUUGGCACUGCUUCUAACCGUCUAUUCAUUUGGACAAUACAUGACAAUUUGACCUCAAAUCAGGUAGGACUACCCGCUGAACUUAAG